rnacentral:lncRNA from 1 species
CGGCGUGCAAAAUAGCAGGGGCAGCCAGCGUCAGAGCCCUCGCUGCCCCAGGCCCCAGGCCCUCUUUGCUAACUGUCUUCCUUUCAUGGUCCCUGUAAUCACUCAUUAUCUCAGUGUCCUCACUUAUCAUAGGUUUCACCUUUGCCAAGAUCAUCCCUUGAGACCUGAGAACAUUAGCCAUUCUGGCCCGUAUGUCUCACGGCAGGAAGCUCAUCCAUCCAUCCAUCCAUCCAUCCAUCCAUCCAUCCAUCCAUCCAUCUGAGAGACAUUUACUGAGCAACUCCUGCACCAGGACUUGUGCCCAGUGCUGAGGACACAGGGAUUAUUGAGGUGCCGGUCCUGCCACCUUGGUACACGUGAUCCCAGAGUUCUGAUGCGGGCAUGCAAGUGCAUAGAAGAGGGAUGACACAUUUCAGGUGUCUUCCAAAAUGGUUGGUGCCACCAUCCAUUCCCGUGAAGCAUCCUUCUUAGCACUUUUUUCCUGAAAGCCAAUAAAAGGGGACAGGCGGAAGCACCAUUGUCUCCAAGUUCCGGAAAUAGCCUUGGUCUUGCUGGCCUCUGUGGAGGGUCGGUCUGGGCCGUGAUGAGGGCCGUGUCCAAGGCCGUGUUCCUGGACGACUCUUCUAUGGCCUGUGCUGGUUGGUGCUGGUGGUAGCUGUCUUUGGAAGAGAGAGCUGGACGUGACAAGCUCUUUCAGAGGGAAGAUGUUUUUAAAGAUUGUCGGGAUCCUGCCAGCAGUUCUUAUUGCUCAAUACUUCGAGGGUUUUCACGGGAACAAAGUUGGGUGCAAAUAUCUUUCUAAUGUGCCGUCGCCCUGACGGAGAGUGCGUUGCCUCUGCGACAGGAGGUUAACUUCCCGCUGAGUUUUCAAGUUGAGUCAUUACUUUUUGUAUGACUUAUAUUUAUUUUUCAGCACCUGUGAGAAAAUACAUUGAUAUUUCAAUACCCGCCAUCAUCGACUGCCUGUUGCGUGUAAGCCCUAGUGCUCCUUGGAGGCAAUACAUUUUUUAAAAAAAUA